rnacentral:lncRNA from 1 species
AUGAUGCCCACAGAUCGCCUCGGAAACGAUGUCACUGAAAGGAUCUUGGAGGUGACGUGUGAGCUUAAGGAACCCAAACUAGCCUGUGUUCUUAGCAAAUUCUCAGCCUCUCUGGAACCCAGGGAUCACCCCAUCCUGGAUCCUGCACUGCCCAGGCUGCCCCUGUGCCGGCUCCCAGCUGCGUGGGUCUCUGUCCAUCCUCUACUGCCCCAGACUGAAUAUUCUCCCAAAUAACAAAGGUGCCGGGAGCCGCUGUCAUCACCUUCCCUCUGGACUGAGGCUCGUCUGAGCAAAACUGGGACACCGUCACGUUGGUCUAGAGCCCUGCCCCUCCCCUGGUCUCGCCUUCUACACACACGGUCCCCUGCACCCAGUGCCCUCCCUUGGCUAGCAAGCCUCCGGUGACCUCGGGCUCUGCUUCUGCGUGCGUGCUGGCAGCUCGGUGUUAGAAUGAGGCCACACGGCGGAAUUUCAGGUGUCAUUGAGCAGGUGCGAAACGUAUUAUUUGGGACAGGAGAGCUUCUUGAUGCCCUUGACAUCGCAAAAUGAAGUCGCAAGAUCACUCAGUCUGUAUGUACAGACGAUCUUUUUUUUUUGUUUGCGAAUGAGAUACAGCGGUAACGUCUCUCCAAUCUGAAGGCAAAGAUCCAAUCCCCACCUAAUUCUCAAGAGGUCUGCACAGGGCUCGGACAGUGUUCCAGAGACUAUGCCGGGUGCCGGGUGUCCUUCAGCAUUUGCUCGUAGACUCCCCAAACAGCACCGUGCUCUGCGGGUCUCACUCCCCCACUGCUGCCUACCUUUACCGAAUGCCUCGUACGCAGGCGUACUGUGCGAAGUGACUUGUACGCGGGAGCUCGUAAUGCUCACGGGUCUGGGAUACAAGUCACAUUAAUCUUAUUUCACUGAUAAGAAAAGGUUAAGCAACCGGCCGAAAGCCAUCCAUUUUAUUAAAUGGCAGAACUGGGAUUUCAUCCUGGAUCAGAUUGACUCAAAAGGCCAUACCCCUAACGCCUCAUCCUGGUUCAGAGAGGCCCUGCCCUCAUGCACAGCAGUGGCUGCUGGAGACAGCGGCGCGAGGCCGUGGGGCUGGCGGGUCGCUUCAACGCUGCCUGGCUGGGCGUGUGCUGGAGCCAGUUCUACGGCAUCCCCUCCCAAGUCUGCGUGCAGUCCGUGGGUGACUUGACGUGGGCCACAGUAGGGCUAUUCACACCAUAGAAAUUGGCCAAUGCUAGGGGCGCGUGGGUGGCGCAGUUGGUUAAGCGUCCGACUUCAGCCAGGUCACGAUCUCGCGGUCCGGGAGUUCGAGCCCCGCGUCGGGCUCUGGGCUGAUGGCUCAGAGCCUGGAGCCUGUUUCCGAUUCUGUGUCUCCCUCUCUCUCUGCCCCUCCCCCGCUCAUGCUCUGUCUCUCUCUGUCCCAAAAAUAAAUAAACGUUGAAAAAAAAUUAAA